rnacentral:misc_RNA from 1 species
GAUGAGUAUCAAGAUGCUGAUUGGAGUGACCUUACAGAAGCUCAGCUCGAAGAACUAGUUUUAAACAAUUUGGACACAAUAUUCAAGAGUGCAAUCAAGAAAAUUGUUGCUUCUGGAUACACUGAAGAGGUUGCUAUAAAAGCUGUCUCAAGGUCUGGCAUCUGUUUUGGUUGUAAAGAUACUGUCUCAAAUAUAGUGGAU